GUAGGGAAUAUUGGGCAAUGGAGGCAACUCUGACCCAGCCAUGCCGCGUGCAGGAUGACGGCCCUCUGGGUUGUAAACUGCUUUUAUACGGGAAGAAAAAAUACUACGUGUAGUAUACUGACGGUACCGUAAGAAUAAGGAUCGGCUAACUCCGUGCCAGCAGCCGCGGUAAUACGGAGGAUCCAAGCGUUGUCCGGAUUUAUUGGGUUUAAAGGGUGCGUAGGCGGAUCUUUAAGUCAGUGGUGAAAGCCUGCAGCUUAACUGUAGAAUUGCCAUGGAAACUGAAGAUCUUGAAUGUGGUUAAAGUAGGCGGAAUGUAUCAUGUAGCGGUGAAAUGCUUAGAUAUGAUACAGAACACCGAUAGCGAAGGCAGCUUGCUGAACCAUUAUUGACGCUGAGGCACGAAAGCGUGGGGAGCGAACAGGAUUAGAAACCCGGGUAGUCC
rnacentral:rRNA from 1 species